rnacentral:lncRNA from 1 species
GAUUCUAUCAGCAACCGUCCACGUUUCUAACUUCUAGGCUAUUAGAUAUGGAUACGUACCACAUUCAUCAUGAGCAACCAGACAUGUUAAAAACAUGCGACAUUGAUUUCAUCGGUUGAUUGAUUCUUUUAUCAUAGACUGAACCUGAGGGAUUGAACUAAUAAUUGGUUUAAAGAUGAGUUGAUCUGACGUUGUUACUGAUUACAUUUGCAGGGAGAAAGAACGCAUGGGCAUGUGGAGUGCUGGUACAGACAAGUAUGUACGGCAUUGGGAUUGCCUACACGAUCACUGCUGCAAUUAGCAUGAGGUAAAUUAAUUAAUUGCUAAUCCGUUUAAAUAAACAUAUCAAUUACCCCGCUCGAUAAUGGAAGUUAAUUAUUUCAUUGUUACUUGUAGGGCGAUUCAGGAAUCGGCGUGUAGUAGUAUUUACAAUGAUAAGAAAGGGGGUGGUGGGUGUGAGGGUGGUGGAGGGAUGAGCUCAUACAUGAUAAUGUUCGGAGUGGCGGAGUUGUUCAUGUCUCAAAUCCCAAACUUCCACGACAUUCAGUGGCUUUCCAAUGUCGCCGCCGUCAUGUCUUUCGCUUACUCCUUCAUCGGUCUCGGCCUUGGCUUCGCUCGUGUCUUAGGUACGUAUAACCAGUAACCACAACUCUAUCACAUCUAAUCAAAUGUUUGCUUGAUGUUUUUCUUAUAAAUUAAUUUUUAAUAUAAUUUCGUCUGGAUUUAACUUUCCUGUUUAAAAUACUUCAAAUUUCAUCCAAAUUUCUAUAUGGCAAAUUUGUAGAUAGUUUCACUAAGCUCAAGUGAAUUUUUGGUACUUGUACGUGCCACUAAUUUGAUUCCUCUGUUCUGAUUGAUAGCUCUGUUGUGGAUAAAAUAGCUGAAUUGGGUUUGCUGUCACACUACUAGACAGUUCCUCUAUUUUUUCUUUUAAAAUUGACAUUUUAUCGUNNNNNNNNNNNNNNNNNNNNNNNNNNNNNNNNNNNNNNNNNNNNNNNNNNNNNNNNGCUCUCAAAUGACAGUAUGGGGACUGGAAAAGAUAAGGAAUCAAUCGCAACUGAUUACGACGACAAAACUGUCGCGUUUCUCCAAAACCAACACUCUUCCACCUACUCCUCUUCUUCCUCUUGCGUGAAGGACGACGAAGCUUACCCCGGCAGCGGCGGAGUAUUAGUAAACAGGAGCGGCACGGUAUGGACGGCGGUGGCGCACAGAAACACACGCGGAAACGGAGCGGGAGGAGACUCCCCACAUUUUUCUGGUAAUUCUAACUGAUAAGUAGUAUAACAAUAAUGAACAAUCUGAUAUUCACCAUUAUAGAAAAAAUACAAAGGAUUUAAUUAAUUCCUUAUUAUUUAUUGAUUAAUUUGAUUUAUUUGGUUGGUGAUGACUGAUCAGCUUGUCUGUAAUAAAUUAAAAUUGAUUUUAUGCAAAGAAGUUGUGUACACGGAAACUCUGUGAUUGCCACGCGGAGGCAUUUUUAUGGGGAAUUCGUUCUCCAUUGUUUCCGACUAGCUUUUUGAUUGGUCAACAUCACUGCCCCCAGAUCAUACAAAUAAAAUUUGUCAGGGAUUUAUUUUUCAUGAUUCUAAUUCGAUGACUCUAAAAAUAAAUCAUGAAAAGCUUAUAUAAAGUAUAUAACUAUAUUCAUUUACAUUGCCUAUAUAUCAUAUAUGCAAUAUUUUUAUCUAAUUUAAAUAUUAAAAACAACUUUAAAAUAUAAAAAAUGAAAGAAUAACUAAUUUAGUUACGAUAGUUAAAAUAGAAUUUGAGAUUUGGUUGUGGCACAAAACCCACUUAAGGCCAAAACUAUUAUUGAUGCACCAAAUGGUUUGAGAAAUGAGAUACGUGCCAAACUUUGCAACAAACUUCAUAAAAUUAUUACUUUUAAAGCUGACACGAAAAUUGACGCAGCUUUGCAUAUACUAUCUUGUACUUGUUUGUUUAUUUAAUUAAAUAAUUUGUCUUCCACAUUCCUUUGUUUGUGUCACCUUCCCCAACAUCUAUCUAAUGAACUCAUGCCACGCAUACACAAGAGCCAUAAAUCCAAGUAGGUCCAUUUGCUGACCAUGAUUCUAUCAGCAACCGUCCACGUUUCUAACUUCUAGGCUAUUAGAUAUGGAUACGUACCACAUUCAUCAUGAGCAACCAGACAUGUUAAAAACAUGCGACAUUGAUUUCAUCGGUUGAUUGAUUCUUUUAUCAUAGACUGAACCUGAGGGAUUGAACUAAUAAUUGGUUUAAAGAUGAGUUGAUCUGACGUUGUUACUGAUUACAUUUGCAGGGAGAAAGAACGCAUGGGCAUGUGGAGUGCUGGUACAGACAAGUAUGUACGGCA